CAUUUCAGGCUCGAACGGAUUUGAAAAUGUAUGAACUAGAUAGCAGUCAUGGGCUAUUGAUGCUACCACUCACUGUAGUACACUGUAGUACAAUGCCAAUGUACGAGCGCAACGUGCACUUCUAUCGUUGGUCGGCUGGCAGAUGCUCUCGGGAGGCUCUAGUUGGUCAUGUUCUGUGCUUGUGCUCGACUGUAGCCAUCUGGUUUAUUGGAAGCACUUGAGCCCAUUUCCUCUGUGGGGUCUAAUGAGGUGGAUUGCUGUAGUAACUAACAGUUAGUGUAUGGUUCUUCGGAGAUCAUUGCAACGAGUCCGUACAUGCGAUUGGGAAGUCACAUGUCUCGAUAAUACAUGUGUGUGUGUAUUUGGUCGGGAAUCGAAUCAAAAUAACAUCAACAAAUGAGACUCAUUAGGUACGUGGAGUUCCCAUCUAUUGUUUGCCAUUGAUGGAUUGGAAGAGUAUCAAAGCUGAACAAGAUUACCAGUUUCAACAUUUGCUUGCCGAGAGCACCGAAGACUAGGAACCCAAGGUUGAAAAAGUGGCAAAAAUGUGACCAGACGCUCGUGGAGUGACAAACUACUGGCGAUAACAGGCGGCCAUAAAGUGCCCCAUAUAGAAGUCGUGAGGAGUCAUUGGAUUUUGCUAGGGUUUGAAAAAGGUCAUUCGAGCAGCAAUCGGUCAACCGUCUAGGUGCGUGUAUGGUCCAUGCUAAAAAUCAUUUCCCUGGGAGUCGAAAUUCUUUUGUGUCCAAGACUGGAAACGUGUGGACGGCCAACCGGAGAUUUUUGACCGUUCGCUUCCCAGCUGCUGCUUCCCUAAGAUGGAUUCAUUCUUACUCGUUCGACAUUGUCGAAUCUCAUUCCCAACCAUCGUGGUUCUCAGACGACGAUACUUGCCCGGAGGGAGCGGCAGAGCUUCACCCAGAGGUUGUGCAGCAAUGACGACAACAACAACGACAACAAUAGCAGCAACCACCUCCCUCUUCCCUCUUAUCCGCUGAUAUUACCAACCGAAUGUUCAAUGUUCAUCCAGGUCCAUGAAAAAGACCAAGAGGAAGCAGUAAACAACAAAACAUCAUGGCUCUUAUCGGAGCUCCCUGCCCUUCCGACAUCGGGGCAAGCUCGGUCGGAGUCUGUUUUGAGCAAUACGAUGUCAUGAUACAUCUAACGUGGCCUCGGGUCAAAUUGUUAAAUACGUUAUUGAUCAAGAGACCACGACCAGAUGGCAAGGGUGUGCAGGUCCUGCAGGAGGGUCAAGCCUCACUAUGUAGUGUGUGAGUGUGUAAUUAGAGAUGCUCUCAUUAUGGGCCAAAUGAGGUCUAACACAAUCUCACGUUUCUGCCUUGAAUCACGGAAAAUUUUGGAGAUGAAUGGAAUUCUGCCGAGAUAUUGGGAGCUUCCAACAUCACAAUACGAGGAGUGUCUGUGUUGGCUGCUAAGCUGUCAAGAGUGUCGUCAUUUUCUCAAGUGAACAGACUUGGAUGGAAUUGGUGGAAUACCAAAAAUGAGUAGGGACGAUAACGAAGAGAGAUAACUGGGAUAAGAUAAUGGGAGAAAAUAAAGGUUUGAACAGCACGACAUCAUUCCAGAGAGUUGCUCCAAACCCACACACACUAGCAUUCGCCCUUAAAGGGGAUGGAAACAGACGGAAUGAGGGGGGGGGGCAAUAAUGAUAAUAAAAGGGAUGGCAUCAAGAAAAUCUAGAUGGUAUGUAUGUCUUAUCAGGCCUUGGACAGGAAAAGGCAAUAGGUCUCAUGAGGCAAUCAACUAUGGCUUACCUAUCGGGCAAUGAAACUUUGGAAUCCUCCCUUGUGAGCUCUUUACCAGAGAGAGAGGGAACCUGAGACGAGACCAUCAAAUCCGGAGGAAGCACCAUUGACGAGGGCUUAGUCCGCAAAGACAACAUGUUGCCUGAGCUAAAACAAAUGCCCAAAUCAAGUCAACCCCUCUCACUGAGCAACUCAGGCUGGCCCACACACUUCCCAACUCACUACUGAGGAUUUUCAUUCCGCCUUUCCCGGUUCCCGACGUCAUGCUCACCAGAAUCAGCGCUCGUAUCUGGAACUCGCGCUCUCGCGUCAGCUGAACUCUGGCCGAGAUAGGAGAACGAGACGCGGUUGACGGUUCCGGGUGGAACGGGGGUAGAUUGGAAGUACGAGAGCUCGGAUGGAUGGAUGGACGCCAACUACAUCCACAACGACGUUUGGAAGUGAAUCCGAGAUCUGGGUUAUGGUGGUGGUGGUGGUGGUGAUGAUGGUGAAGAAGACGAAGACGACGACGAAGAAGGACAACAACAACUACAACACGGAUCAGGGAAUGGAAGAAGAAGCUCUGCUGAUCUGGCAAGGGAGGAAACGACCCCCGAACCCCCAAUUCCAGAAUGGCUUCAGCCAAAGAGAAGAUCGAGCGGAGAGCCGAGGCAGACGGGAUCCAAUUUCGAUUUUUUUUUCAUCUGGGAUAAGGAAUAAGGAAUACGAAUCAGUUCAUUCAGACCGGAGAGUAAAUAUUUUCGUUCCUAGAGCGUUACAACGGAUUCUCAUCUCUUCUUGGCCAUGGUACAAUUCAAGUGGUGUUGUAGAAUGAGCACGUCCAGGCGACAUGAUUGCUUUUGGUUCAGGUGUCCUCCAACGAAGGACUCUCCCAUGCGUCGACAGCCUGACAUGGAUUGCUUUUGAUGGCGUGUCAAUCAAUCGCUUUUGAGGAGUGAAUGAAGUGGAUUCAAAAAAGGGUCAUGUUUUGCCCCCGAAUUUGGAGCCUCGGAGUAGAGAACAGCUGAUGGAAGUGACUUGACAAAUGAAACGAUACCUGAUCGCACAAAACUAUCAAAUAACGAUGGUUGGACUUGAUGCCAUGUGACAGGGGAAGUUCCAAUCGAUAGGAAAAGCCAGUGCGACUAAUCUUUUAUGACCAGCCUCUCGUCCAUUUACCCAUAUAUCAACACAGCCGUACCCAAAUAGCCAUCCUGUGUCGUCAUCAUCCUUUGGUCUGAAGAUGAACACCGCUAGUCUCGAGGACUGGCCGCGAUUCGCCUCGGAAACAACGCUGCUUCAUGAUCGUCUUAUCGUAAGCGUCGCUCCAGCUUCCAUCCAGAUACUCCAAAGUUCUCUCCAACAUUGAACAUAAGACGACUGGAAUCGAGCCCGAUGAACCGGGGGUGCUUGUCAAAGACAGAAAGUGGGGAGACGGAGAGAGAACCCGAGAGGCCAUGAUAGUGGGGUGAAGCGUAAGGGCGUAUAGCGACAUGCCGAACCCAACAUUUAGAGGGUCUCUCGGAGAAAUGAAAAGAAUCGAUGACUAAGCGGCCACCGACCACCAGAAGCCCAACAAAGAUCGGACGAUGCCUUCUGGAGUGCGAGUGUGAAAAACAGCCAUGAAGCUCGCUACACAUGGAGUCUAUGAAC